rnacentral:rRNA from 1 species
GACGAACGCUGGCGGCGUGCCUAACACAUGCAAGUCGAACGAUGAACCGGAGCUUGCUCUGGGGAUUAGUGGCGAACGGGUGAGUAACACGUGGGCAACCUGCCCCAGACACCGGGAUAACCAUUCGAAAGGAUGGCUAAUACCGGAUACGACCACUUCGGGCAUCCGAUGGUGGUGGAAAGGAUUCUGGUCUGGGAUGGGCCCGCGGCCUAUCAGCUUGUUGGUGGGGUAAUGGCCUACCAAGGCGACGACGGGUAGCCGGCCUGAGAGGGCGACCGGCCACACUGGGACUGAGACACGGCCCAGACUCCUACGGGAGGCAGCAGUGGGGAAUUUUGGACAAUGGGGGCAACCCUGAUCCAGCCAUGCCGCGUGAGUGAAGAAGGCCUUCGGGUUGUAAAGCUCUUUCGGCCGGGAAGAAAUCGCACGGGCUAAUACCCUGUGUGGAUGACGGUACCGGAAUAAGAAGCACCGGCUAACUAC